GUCUUCGUAGCUCAGUUGGUCAGAGCGUCCGACUGUUAGCUCUACUUCAGUCGCCCAUCGGGAGGUCGACAGUUCAAACCUGUCCGAGGACG